rnacentral:rRNA from 1 species
GAUGAACGCUGGCGGCGUGCCUAAUACAUGCAAGUCGAGCGAACAGACGAGGAGCUUGCUCCUCUGACGUUAGCGGCGGACGGGUGAGUAACACGUGGAUAACCUACCUAUAAGACUGGGAUAAAUUCGGGAAACCGGAGCUAAUACCGGAUAAUAUAUUGAACCGCAUGGUUCAAUAGUGAAAGACGGUUUUGCUGUCACUUAUAGAUGGAUCCGCGCCGCAUUAGCUAGUUGGUAAGGUAACGGCUUACCAAGGCAACGAUGCGUAGCCGACCUGAGAGGGUGAUCGGCCACACUGGAACUGAGACACGGUCCAGACUCCUACGGGAGGCAGCAGUAGGGAAUCUUCCGCAAUGGGCGAAAGCUUGACGGAGCAACGCCGCGUGAGUGAUGAAGGUCUUCGGAUCGUAAAACUAUGUUAUUAGGGAAGAACAAAUGUGUAAGUAACUAUGCACGUCUUGACGGUACCUAAUCAGAAAGCCACGGCUAACUACGUG